rnacentral:lncRNA from 1 species
UAUCCAAGAGAUCUCAAAUCCAUAGGCGAGAGCCAUGUGAAUGGCAGCGUAGGAAUGGUUAUUGAAAGUCCUGAACGAUGUGGGAGCAACAAGCUUCACGUCACACCCAACUUCUAAGUCCUCAGCUUUUAGGUCUCCACCCACUGCAUAUGCAUAACCAUUGGACUCCCACUUCACGCACUCACCACUCUCCACAUACUUUCCGUUCUCUCUCACCGAAUGGUUACAGUUCAGAAACACUAUAUGCUCGAAACUCAGAUAUUCCCAAUUAC